rnacentral:rRNA from 1 species
UCCAGACUCCUACGGGAGGCAGCAGUGGGGAAUAUUGCACAAUGGGGGAAACCCUGAUGCAGCAACGCCGCGUGAGUGAAGAAGUCAUUCGUGAUGUAAAGCUCUAUCAGCAGGGAAGAAAAUGACGGUACCUGACUAAGAAGCCCCGGCUAACUACGUGCCAGCAGCCGCGGUAAUACGUAGGGGGCAAGCGUUAUCCGGAUUUACUGGGUGUAAAGGGAGCGUAGACGGUAUGGCAAGUCUGAAGUGAAAGCCCAGGGCUUAACCCUGGGACUGCUUUGGAAACUGUUAGACUAGAGUGCUGGAGAGGUAAGUGGAAUUCCUAGUGUAGCGGUGAAAUGCGUAGAUAUUAGGAGGAACACCAGUGGCGAAGGCGGCUUGCUGGACGGUAACUGACGUUGAGGCCCGAAAGCGUGGGGAGCAAACAGGAUUAGAUACCCCCGUAGAA